rfam:Rattus norvegicus chromosome 6, whole genome shotgun sequence.
GGGGAUUUAGCUCAGUGGUAGAGCGCUUGCCUAGCAAGCACAAGGCUCUGGGUUCGGUCCUCAGCUCCG